rnacentral:rRNA from 1 species
CAGCCGCCGCGGGAAUACGAAGGGUGCAAGCGUUAAUCGGAAUUACUGGGCGUAAAGCGUGCGUAGGCGGUGAGUUAAGUCUGCUGUGAAAUCCCCGGGCUCAACCUGGGAAUGGCAGUGGAUACUGGCUCGCUAGAGUGUGUCAGAGGAUGGUGGAAUUCCCGGCGUAGCGGUGAAAUGCGUAGAGAUCGGGAGGAACAUCAGUGGCGAAGGCGGCCAUCUGGGACAACACUGACGCUGAGGCACGAAAGCGUGGGGAGCAAACAGGAUUAGAGACCCCCGUAGUCCCUGUCUCUUAUAC